rnacentral:rRNA from 1 species
AGUGAACGCUGGCGGUAGGCCUAACACAUGCAAGUCGAACGGCAGCACAGUAAGAGCUUGCUCUUACGGGUGGCGAGUGGCGGACGGGUGAGGAAUACAUCGGAAUCUACUUUUUCGUGGGGGAUAACGUAGGGAAACUUACGCUAAUACCGCAUACGACCUACGGGUGAAAGCAGGGGAUCUUCGGACCUUGCGCGACUGAAUGAGCCGAUGUCGGAUUAGCUAGUUGGCGGGGUAAAGGCCCACCAAGGCGACGAUCCGUAGCUGGUCUGAGAGGAUGAUCGGCCACACUGGAACUGAGACACGGUCCAGACUCCUACGGGAGGCAGCAGUGGGGAAUAUUGGACAAUGGGCGCAAGCCUGAUCCAGCAAUACCGCGUGGGUGAAGAAGGCCUUCGGGUUGUAAAGCCCUUUUGUUGGGAAAGAAAAGCAGCAGGUGAAUACCCCGCUGUUCUGACGGUACCCAAAGAAUAAGCACCGGCUAACUUCGUG